rnacentral:rRNA from 1 species
GACAGAGGGUGCAAACGUUGCUCGGAAUUACUGGGCGUAAAGCGCGUGUAGGCGGACUGGUGUGUCGGAUGUGAAAUCCCCAGGCUCAACCUGGGAACUGCAUUCGAAACUGCCAGCCUUGAGUGGUGGAGAGGGAAGUGGAAUUCCUGGUGUAGAGGUGAAAUGCGUAGAUAUUGGGAGGAACACCAGUGGCGAAGGCGGCUCACUGGACCGGUUCUGACGCUGAGGCGCGAAAGCGUGGGUAGCAAACAGG